CCUACGGGAGGCAGCAGUGAGGAAUAUUGGUCAAUGGCCGGAAGGCUGAACCAGCCAUGCCGCGUGAAGGUCAGUGCCCUAUGGGCGUUAAACUUCUUUUGUGCGGGAGCAAUAAUGGUCACGUGUGGCCAGACGAGAGUACCGUACGAAUAAGCAUCGGCUAACUCCGUGCCAGCAGCCGCGGGAAUACGGGGGAUGCAAGCGUUAUCCGGAUUUACUGGGUGUAAAGGGCGUGUAGGCGGGACUGCAAGUCAGAUGUGAAAACGACGGGGCCAACCUGUGGCCUGCAUUUGAAACUGUAGAUCUUGAGUACUGGAGAGGUAGACGGAAUUCCUAGUGUAGCGGUGAAAUGCGUAGAUAUUAGGAGGAACACCAGUGGCGAAGGCGGUCUGCUGGACAGCAACUGACGCUGAGGCGCGAAAGCGUGGGGAGCAAACAGGAUUAGAUACCCCUGUAGUC
rnacentral:rRNA from 1 species